GGUAGGCCCACCAAGGCGACGAUCAGUAGCCGGCCUGAGAGGGUGAACGGCCACAUUGGGACUGAGACACGGCCCAAACUCCUACGGGAGGCAGCAG
rnacentral:rRNA from 1 species